rnacentral:rRNA from 1 species
AACGACUCUCGACAACGGAUAUCUCGGCUCUCGCAUCGAUGAAGAACGUAGCGAAAUGCGAUACUUGGUGUGAAUUGCAGAAUCCCGUGAACCAUCGAGUCUUUGAACGCAAGUUGCGCCCGAAGCCACUAGGCUGAGGGCACGCCUGCCUGGGUGUCACGCAU